UACGAAGGGUGCAAGCGUUAAUCGGAAUUACUGGGCGUAAAGGGUGCGUAGGCGGUUGUUUAAGUCUGUCGUGAAAUCCCCGGGCUCAACCUGGGAAUGGCGAUGGAUACUGGGCAGCUAGAGUGUGUCAGAGGAUGGUGGAAUUCCCGGUGUAGCGGUGAAAUGCGUAGAGAUCGGGAGGAACAUCAGUGGCGAAGGCGGCCAACUGGUCCGAUACUGACGCUGAGGCGCGAAAGCGUGGGGAGCAAACAGG
rnacentral:rRNA from 1 species